rnacentral:rRNA from 1 species
UGGGGAAUAUUGCACAAUGGGCGCAAGCCUGAUGCAGCCAUGCCGCGUGUAUGAAGAAGGCCUUCGGGUUGUAAAGUACUUUCAGUCGGGAGGAAGGUGUCAAGGUUAAUAACCUUGGCAAUUGACGUUACCGACAGAAGAAGCACCGGCUAACUCCGUGCCAGCAGCCGCGGUAAUACGGAGGGUGCAAGCGUUAAUCGGAAUUACUGGGCGUAAAGCGCACGCAGGCGGUUUGUUAAGUCAGAUGUGAAAUCCCCGGGCUCAACCUGGGAACUGCAUCUGAUACUGGCAAGCUUGAGUCUCGUAGAGGGGGGUAGAAUUCCAGGUGUAGCGGUGAAAUGCAUAGAGAUCUGGAGGAAUACCGGUGGCGAAGGCGGCCCCCUGGACAAAGACUGACGCUCAGGUGCGAAAGCGUGGGGAGCAAACAGG